GAUGAACGCUGGCGGCGUGCCUAAUACAUGCAAGUCGAGCGAACGGACGAGAAGCUUGCUUCUCUGAUGUUAGCGGCGGACGGGUGAGUAACACGUGGAUAACCUACCUAUAAGACUGGGAUAACUUCGGGAAACCGUAGCUAAUACCGGAUAAUAUUUUGAACCGCAUGGUUCAAAAGUGAAAGACGGUCUUGCUGUCACUUAUAGAUGGAUCCGCGCUGCAUUAGCUAGUUGGUAAGGUAACGGCUUACCAAGGCAACGAUGCAUAGCCGACCUGAGAGGGUGAUCGGCCACACUGGAACUGAGACACGGUCCAGACUCCUACGGGAGGCAGCAGUAGGGAAUCUUCCGCAAUGGGCGAAAGCCUGACGGAGCAACGCCGCGUGAGUGAUGAAGGUCUUCGGAUCGUAAAACUCUGUUAUUAGGGAAGAACAUAUGUGUAAGUAACUGUGCACAUCUUGACGGUACCUAAUCAGAAAGCCACGGCUAACUACGU
rnacentral:rRNA from 1 species